ACGAUGAUGCCAGCUUGCUGGUGGAUUAGUGGCGAACGGGUGAGUAACACGUGAGUAACCUGCCCUUGACAAUGGGAUAAGCCUGGGAAACUGGGUCUAAUACCGGAUAUGACUGAUCAUCGCAUGGUGGUUGGUGGAAAGGCUUUUGUGGUUUUGGAUGGACUCGCGGCCUAUCAGCUUGUUGGUGGGGUAAUGGCCUACCAAGGCGACGCCGGGUAGCCGGCCUGAGAGGGUGCCCCGGCCACACUGGGACUGAGACACGGCCCAGACUCCUACGGGAGGCAGCAGUGGGGAAUAUUGCACAAUGGGCGAAAGCCUGAUGCAGCGACGCCGCGUGAGGGAUGACGGCCUUGGUUGUNAACCUCUUUCAGUANGGAAGAAGCGUAAGUGACGGUACCUGCAGAAGAAGCGCCGGCUAACUUACGUGCCAGCAGCCGCGGUAAUACGUAGGGCGCAAGCGUUAUCCGGAAUUAUUGGGCGUAAAGAGCUCGGGGGGCGGUUUGUCGCGUCUGCCGUGAAAGUCCGGGGCUCAACUCCGGAUCUGCGGUGGGUACGGGCAGACUAGAGUGAUGUAGGGGAGACUGGAAUUCCUGGUGUAGCGGUGAAAUGCGCAGAUAUCAGGAGGAACACCGGGUUCGAAGGCAGGUCUCUGGGCAUUAACUGACGCUGAGGAGCGAAAGCAUGGGGAGCGAACAGGAUUAGAAUACCCUGGUAGUCCAUGCCGUAAACGUUGGGCACUAGGUGUGGGGGACAUUCCACGUUUUCCGCGCCGUGGGCUAACGCAUUAAGUGCCCCGCCUGGGGAGUACGGCCGCAAGGCUAAAACUCAAAGGAAUUGACGGGGGCCCCGCACAAGCGGCGGAGCAUGCGGAUUAAUUCGAUGCAACGCGAAGACCCCUUACCAAGGCUUGACAUGAAAACAGACCGGGCUGGAAACAGUCCUUCCCCUUUGGGGUUGGUUUACAGGUGGUGCAUGGUUGUCGUCAGCUCGUGUCGUGAGAUGUUGGGUUAAGUCCCGCAACGAGCGCAACCCUCGUUCCAUGUUGCCAGCGGGUAGUCCCGGGGACUCAUGGGAGACUGCCGGGGUCAACUCGGAGGAAGGUGGGGACGACGUCAAAUCAUCAUGCCCCUUAUGUCUUGGGCUUCACGCAUGCUACAAUGGCCGGUACAAAGGGUUGCGAUACUGUGAGGUGGAGCUAAACCCAAAAAGCCGGUCUCAGUUAGGAUUGGGGUCUGCAACUCGACCCCAUGAAGUCGGAGUCGCUAGUUUAUCGCAGAUCAGCAACGCUGCGGUGAAUACGUUCCCGGGCCUUGUAAACACCGCCCGUCAAGUCACGAAUUUUGGUAACACCCGAAGCCGGUGGGGGAA
rnacentral:rRNA from 1 species